ACAGUUCGAAAGAGCAAUUCCUCCAGCUGUGGUAUGGAGAGAGGAAGUGUGGGGAGCCAAGGAUCUAAGCCCCUUUGAGUAUUCAGACACCGACCAACUAAAGCCAGAGAAUUGACAAUAUUGACCGUUGCUGGCCUUCAUGACUUUGACCUGAACUCUGUCCCCUUAAGAUGACUUUUGCCCCAAUUCCAUGCUGGAUUCCCCAUUGGGCAAGCUGAUUCAUGAACAGCACCUGGAACUGUGUCCAGUACAUAGUGGUGGGUUUUCUAUCGGUAUUUGUUGGCUGAACAAAUGAAUAGCAUGGAAUCGCCAGAAGGGGAUGGACCAGGGUACUUUGACACCUUGUCAGACUGUUUGCAUUUGGAAUACAAAACAGUCAGGUAUGUUUCCAAGGAAGAGGGUGGGGGACACAUCCACAGGCAUGGCUGGGUCCCCAGAUUGGAGCUGGAGCAGAGAAGGGGCCUGGAUGACAUGCCUGCGAGAGACCACCCGUCUCAGGGCCCCUGGAUGUGGUUCCUCAAGCAAAGAUUCCUUGGGCGUCAUGGACCAUCUGCCUCCUCCUAUGGAUGUCUUCAGCAUGAUCUCUCUCCCUCUCCCGCAGCAAGAGGGCUUGAUCAAGGUAUCUUUGAUUGAAUUAGUAGCUCCUGAAGCACAGUGUAAGAUAAAA